ensembl:lncRNA
GUUUUUACUUUUUAGUGAAAACUUCUUUCUUCCUUUCUUCCUUCUUUUCUUUUUUUCUUUUCUUCCUUUUCUUCUUUUUCUUUUUUUCUCUUUCACUGUCUCUCUCUCUCUUUUUUUUUUUUCCCAAGAAAGAAAAGGAAUGUCCUCCAGUUAACUGUUUUGCAUACAGAAGCAAGCAAUCAAGUUUUUCAGACAGAAGAGCAGAUCGAGCCCUAGAGCACAGUGGUUAAAAUCACACCAUAGUUCAUCUCUGGCACAUUUGGGUGUAGUUUUCCAGGUGGCAACGUCUGUGCUAACAUCACCCCUUAAUAUCUGUUGGAUGAAAACAUCUCUGGUGCUAAAGGACCUUGAAGAGUGAAAGCAUGCACUGAAGAGUGUUUGCUGUAGUUUUAGAUGAGCUUCCCAUGCUCACACUCAAUGCACCACUGAUUCUUUUCAUCCUCUGCCAAGGUCAGGACAACAGCAGAUCCCCAUUCCGUGCUUCCCUGCCCCAGUUUUGGGAGGCUGAGGGGUCCCGCUGAGCUGUCCCACACGGCAAGGCCCUGAGGGGCUGCACUGCUACAGGGUUGGGCUAUCCUGCAUUGCAGCUGCAGCUUCUGAAGGGACAUGAGUGGGGAAAGAUGUGCACUGCCAGGGCCCAGCAUAAUUCCUUCUCACACACCUGAAUGGAGCAGAGGAAUUGUAUGCCAUGAGUGCCUGUUUCCAUCAAUAAAGUACUCAGACUAAAUGCAAGGAGCAGAACAUUCUUGCUGCAAUGCUGCCUCCAAGUCACCCCAACACAUGCCAAGCAAUUAUCACAUCCCAUUUCUGGAGGUUCCAGAGGCUUUCAGAAUUAUCCAGACUUCUGCUCCAGUUCUUGUGUCACCUGCUGAAAGAAAACGAUCAGACUGUCUGUGCAUUGAGCAGCCACUUCUUUGAAGCAGUUACCAGCACAGCUUCUGACUCCAGCACUCUGCCAGCACACGCUCAACCAGCCUGCAGACAUCAGUAGCUGGCUUUCCCCCACUCUGAGGCUUCACGUUAAAUUGCUGUUGAGACUCCAUGACAUAAAUUAAGAACAGAAAAACCAGUUUUAAGCUUACAGCUCUGAAGAAAUCACCAAACGAGUUCUAUUUUGGCAGCCUGCUGCUCACAACUCAGAAAAUACGACAGCAAAGCAAAUCACAUGUCCAGUGUGUGUUUUAUAACCCUGCUCAAACUAAGCCAUCUUGUAGGCACAUGCCUGACUAUUUUUAGUGGCUGUGCUCCCACAAAUAUGGCAAAGUCCUUUAGCAUUGGCUACUCACUAGGGGCUACUUGAAAAGUAGCAAAAGAUGUCAGUUGCUGGAAUUUUGACUGAAAAUAAUAAUACCUGGAUUUCAGAUUAGCUGCACAGAUUUGCCAAAGUGCAAAUGAAGUCAGCCCUGGCAAUGUGACGAUUCACUGAUUGCUGCCUUCAGCCAUGAAAGUACAGGAUCUGACUGUGUUUUAUUUUCAUCACCAUUUGUACAGCAUUACUUUACAGGUAUACUGUUGCUUGUGGGAAUGUUGGUUUUCUAGGGUGUCCAUCUGGGAAUCAAGUGUUUCUCCUCCAGCUCCAAGCAGGCACUGUGGCAUAUCCAGAGGACCCAUAACUGACAUGGCCCAUUAGUCAUAGAAACAUCCCACUAAAAUUAGCGGCAGCUUUUCAUCUUUAUGGGCCUCAUGCCUUGGUCCAUAUGUAGAACAUACAAAAUGGAUUUUUCUUUUCUUGGCAUGUAACCCUGUCUUUCCGGUACUUUGGUUCCAGACCUUCAUGAGCAAUGCAGGUGGCUUUUGUUGCUCCACAGCUCAUAUUCUUGACAGUUACUGCAUCUACACAAUACUUCUGGAUUCAGCCAGGCUGGAACAUUCUCACAAACAGUUACUUAAGAUUACCAGCAUUAGCACAUAAAUAUAAUAGUAAUUAAUAAUACUUUGGCUUCUUGAAGAUCCCCUGUGCUGCUUUGUUGGCUUUGUUUCAACAGCACCUAAAAAGCCUGCAGCGAGGGCUCCCCCCAUUCCCAUCUUGUUUUUAAAAUCUGUUUCUAAGGUGUGCAACAAAGCUACUGUGAUUUUCACUCUCAGAGCCCAAGUUUUCCACUUUUGGAAAGUGAGACUGUAUCUGUUUAUUCAUUUGUUGGGUCCCAGCUGGAGACAGUUCAGACUUGAUUUUUGGAGGUGUUGGCCACUUAACAAUUCCCACACGAGCCAAAGGGAGCUGUGAUUGUGCAGCGCUGUGCUGAAUGUGGCUUCUGUUGUUUGAAAAGAGCAUGCUGUACAAGAAGCCAUUUUGAUGGUGUUUACCCCAUCUUUAAUUCUGAGUCUAAAUUUAUAACAAACAGUGGCCUGAAUUAUUUCUGUGUCAUUCACUGCCUUUGUGAAAUUUUUUAAAGGAUCCAAACAGAUGCUUUAUAUCAUGAAUAUAUAUCAAAAAGAAAAGUCAAGAGUUCUCACCCAUGCCAUCCUAUCUGAGUUUCGUGUUUGCUGCUUCAGCAUACAGGUUGAACACUAAAUAAGGCUCUCCCUUCUUCAUGAAAUGGUUACUCUUCAAGCCAGGGUCAGGUGGUGGUAAGACUUUUGCAAUGCCAUUGCUCUACCUGGCUUAUGAACUCAGGAUUUUAUUUUACAGUGUAAUCAAUAUUCAAGCCUUCCAAUAUAUUUUAUCUACUCAGAAAAGACAACAAUGUACCUAACUGCCCUAGCUAAAAUCUCAAAGCCAUAUUUUCCAUUUGGCAAAGACAAAAAUAGAAUGGAGCUGCUUGAAUAAAACUCAAAUCAGUAUUUGGAUCUAACUAAUA